UUUUUAGUUAAAGCUGAAAUGUUUCCUCCUGAUGCAUCUUCUUGUUGUAAUUGUGCUUGAAUUUUCACGUGGCCAGAGACUUUUGUUCACCUUGGAAUGGAAUGAAUUUUACAGCUCUAAGGAAUUUUAAGUAGCAUUAGUUUUAACCCCUCAUUGUAUAGUUAAAUCAAAACCUAGAAAAUGUCAGUUUGUAACAACAGUAUGUGUAAGAGGUGGGGACAGCUUUUUGCUUAAUAAAUAACUGAUAGUGAGUUGAAGUUGAAUUUUCUGAUUUUAAAAUAUGGAAAAAAGUAUGUUGUUUGGUCAAUUUCAAGAUUUAUUCAAGAAUUUUUUAAUUUUUAUUAGACGUUAUGCUUCUUUUUGUGGCACACUGGAAACGGAAAUGAGAACAGGAUGGUG
rnacentral:lncRNA from 1 species